UACGGAGGGUGCAAGCGUUGUCCGGAUUCAUUGGGUUUAAAGGGUGCGUAGGCGGCCCUGUAAGUCAGCGGUGAAAUCCCACGGCUCAACCGUGGAACUGCCGUUGAUACUGCGGGGCUUGAGUUCGCCCGAGGUCGCUGGAAUGCGUGGUGUAGCGGUGAAAUGCAUAGAUAUCACGCAGAACACCGAUUGCGAAGGCAGGUGACUGGGGCGCGGCUGACGCUGAGGCACGAAAGUGUGGGGAGCAAACAGG
rnacentral:rRNA from 1 species